GUCAACGCGGUAACCAAGGAGACCGAGGCGGAAGCUCCGGAUAGCUCCAGCAGGCGGUGGUGACGCAGGCGGCUGGGUUCUCCAGAAAGAGAAGUUCACUUUUGAUGGAAGAAAUCUGCAUCGUAGAGGUGGCCUUCCAACCUGGCAAUGAAUGGAAUAAAACUUGACGUUUUUGCAAAUCACAAUUUUUAGAUAGUAUCAAGACAGUGGGGG